UUGCUGUGAUGAAAGGAAAGCUUAUUGAGUGCUUUGUACCAAAGCUUGAUGAUUUUAUCAGCAGUUAUGCUGGUCUGAGCGGUUACCUGAGCAA